rnacentral:rRNA from 1 species
UACGAAGGGAGCAAGCGUUGUUCGGAAUUACUGGGCGUAAAGGGCGUGUAGGCGGACUGAAUCGUUAGAGGUGAAAUACCUGGGCUCAACCUAGGAACUGCCUUUAAUACAUUCAGACUAGAAUCCGGGAGAGGAUAGUGGAAUACCCAGUGUAGAGGUGAAAUUCGUAGAUAUUGGGUGGAACACCAGUGGCGAAGGCGACUAUCUGGACCGGCAUUGACGCUGAGGCGCGAAAGCGUGGGGAGCAAACAGG